CCGGCGGGAGCGCGGGGCUCAGGGCCAGGGCCCGCCUCCAGGGGGCGGUGUGCGCCCCCGGCGCCGGAGCAGCCGCGUUUCGGGGACCCGGGCAGGCGUGGGGGGCUGCGCUGAGCUCCAGGCCUCCUGCAGGACGGAACAUGCUGCUGGUUUUUCCAUGUCUCGGUCUCCUUCUGCUGAGUAUUCUUCUAUUUCAAUCAUGAGUGUAGCAGCCCAUUUCAACAUACUGAAAACACUCACCCUAGGGCUUUCAAGUCCCUGCUGUGGACAAUCCGCAUGUGACAGCUGAGACAGGAGGAAGAGGCCCAAGGGAACGCAUUCCUGCUAGGACAGAGCUGGCUGGCUGCACAGUGGAGAGUGUUUGCUGGAAGCUGCUACCAGCCAUGGGGCACCUACCCGCCCAGCGGCCCUUGCAUCCAGAUGCAGAGCCCUGGACAAAGGACGGAGCUGUGAAAACAGUGCCUGGAGGAUCUGAUCCCUUCUAGCAAGGCCAAGAGACACAGCUGGGCUGGGGAGGACGGGGUCUCCAGGCCUCACCAUAGCCACUUAUCUAGACGCCAGCAUCAAAAGGUUCAAAGCCAAGGUCACAGGCUCAUGAAAAAAUUAAGCAGGUAUCAAAAAAUAUCACAAAGGCAACAGUUUUAUGACAUGAAAACAUCUAUCAGAGACAAUAUAAACCUGUCUGCUAAUAGAACCAGGUAACACUGUCUAAAUUAAAUUCUGAAGAGAUUUCAAUUUUAUUUUACUAAUGAUUUUUAAAACUAGCUUUAUUUACCCAACAUGACUAAAGUCCCAUUGACCUGAAAAGCAUUUGGGCUUAUUUACUUAAUUUAUGAGUACUCCUUUAUUUAUAAGUCUAUUCAGUACCAUGUAGACAAUGUUCAAACGCAGACAUAUGCACGCAUACAUAAAAAUACAAAUGAACACAAAAAAAUAAAGACUACAUGCUUUUAUUUUUAAAAUUUUAGCCAUGAGACUGGUAAAAUUCACUAGUUUAAAAGGACAGUUGUAUUAAAUUGUGUCUCUGUAAAUGGAACAAUUUAAAAUGUAUCUGUCCUACAUGGUUGAAGUCCUUACCUUACAGAGUUUUAGAGAAAGCAGGGUAGCAAAUUUACAUCUCAAAGCACAGAGAGAAUUUUAGCUUUCUCAAGAAGGAGUUUGAGUGUGUUAGAGCAAGAUUAAAAAUGGAUUUCAAGGUAACAAAAAGUUAUGGAAAUCCACCACAGGAUGUUUUUCAUUUUGUUUUUGGAGGCAGGGUCUCACUCUGUUGCUGAGGCUGGAGUGCAAUGGCGCAAUCAUGGCUCACUGAAGUCUCGACCUGGGUUCAAGCAAUCCCUUUGCCUGAACCUCCUGAGUAGCUGCUACUAUAGGCACAUGUCAUCAA